AUGGCAAGCUCCUCCAUGAACUCCUUUCCCUCAUCGCCGUUUGCACAUAUCGCAACAGAGAAGCUCACGAGAGGGAACGAGCCGCUGUGGCGCGCCACCGUGCUCUCGGCCAUCCGGGGAGCGCGGAUGGCGUCGUUCCUCGACGUCGAGCAGGAGGUGCCGCCCACGACCAUUGAGGUCACCAGCGCCGAUGGGAAGACCAAGUCCCAGGGCCCCAACCCGGAGUUCGGCGUGUGGUAUGCACGCGAUCAGCAGGUGUUCUCGUACCUGCUGACCACGCUGCCGCGCGAGAUGGCCGUCCAAGUGGCGACUUGCCACACCGCAGCAGAGCUGUGGAAUACUAUGCAGGGGAUGCUGAAAUCGCAAACCCGAUCACAAACCGUCAACGUCAGGAUCGCCCUCGCCAAUCUUCAGAAGGGAAACUCCACGAUCACUGAGUACGUUGGUAAGGUUAGAACUCUCUGUGAUGAACUCGUUGCUUCAGGAAAGAAGGUGGAUGAAGAGGACGUGGUGUCCCACAUCCUAGCUGGACUAGAUGAGGAGUUCGACCCCGUGGUGUCAGCCAUGUGCUCUCGAGUCGAGCUAGUCAAAGUCUCGGAGUUGUACUCGCAGCUCCUGAGCUUCGAGACCCGCAUGAAUCUUCGUGGCGGGUCCUCCCAGUCGUCUGCAAACGCAGUUGGACGUGGGCGCUCCAACAACAGAAACAGCGGCGGCGGCAGUGGUGACCGCGGCCGCGGCAGGCAAGGCGGCGGCGGUGAUCGCGGCCGCGGCAACUCCUCCAGGCCGCCCAACCAUGGCGGCGGCAGCGGUGGGGGUGGGAACUACAACAACAAUCCCACCACCAAGCCUACAUGCCAGAUCUGCGGCAAGGUGGGUCAUCCAGCGUGGAAGUGCUGGAAGCGCUAUGACUCCGCUUACCAAGGAGGAGAAGAGCGCUCGCCGGAUAUGACUGCACCGCAGUAUGGGGUGGACACCAACUGGUACAUGGACAGUGGUGCCACCGACCACAUCACCGGCGAUCUGGAGAAGCUCACCGUCCGGGAGAGGUACACCGGCAACGACCAAAUUCAUGCAGCCAAUGGGUCAGGAUCUGGAAAUGAGGAGGGUUCUACUUCGAGGCAGGGGUAG
rnacentral:rRNA from 1 species